rnacentral:rRNA from 1 species
UACGGAAGGGGCAAGCGUUGUUCGGAAUCAUUGGGCGUAAAGGGCGCGUAGGUGGUUCUGUAUGUCUACCGUGAAAGCGUACGGCUCAACCGUAUUUUGUCGGUGGAAACUGCAGGACUUGAGGCUGGGAGGGGCUGGUGGAAUUCCCUGUGUAGCGGUGAAAUGCGUAGAUAUCGUAAGGAAGACCAGUGGCGAAGGCGGGUCUCUGGACAGUUCCUGACGCUGAGGCACGAAGGUCAGGGGAGCAAACGGG